UACAGAGGGGGCAAGCGUUGUUCGGAAUUACUGGGCGUAAAGGGCGCGUAGGCGGCCUUCUAAGUCGAACGUGAAAUCCCCGGGCUCAACCCGGGAACUGCGUCCGAUACUGGAAGGCUUGAAUCCGGAAGAGGAGAAUGGAAUUCCUGGUGUAGCGGUGAAAUGCGCAGAUAUCAGGAGGAAUACCGAUGGCGAAGGCAGGUCUCUGGGCUGACACUGACGCUCAUGCACGAAAGCGUGGGGAGCAAACAGG
rnacentral:rRNA from 1 species